ensembl:lncRNA
AACACAGGUUGGUUUUACAGCAGGCCAUCCCCAUCACCUGCCAACCAAGCAACAGACAACCAGAAGCCGACCAAAGGGAAAAAAAGGGGGUUAAAGGUAGUAGUCGGCUUCAGUUUUCUUGUUUGUGUGGUUUGUUUGGUUGCUUCUAGUUUUCUGGUGCUUUGUCAGCGGGUCAUAGACCUGGCGCUGUUCACUGCAGGUCCACUGGACCCCGGCCAGAGAUCCAGUGUUGCCAGAGAAUGCUCCAGAACAGGGCAGCGGACCCGAGUGCCCGAAUCCCUUGGCAGUUGGGUUCUCCUCCUCUCCUCCUCAAAAUCUAUUAAUAAAUGCAAGCAUCGAAAGAGAUCCUUAGGCAGCGUUAUGUCACAACUCGUGUGCAGUCAUCUAGUGACAGCACUGCACACUAGAUCACAGCAUACAAGCAGACCAUCUCCGCUCCGUUUCAGACAAGAGUCUGCAGGAUAGAAAGGACCAGUCUCUGCUUCCUCUCGCUUAAAUACGCAACAACAUUUCCUCAAUAAACUCCUCCCUCUCCUCA